CCUACGGGUGGCAGCAGUGAGGAAUAUUGGUCAAUGGGCGCGAGCCUGAACCAGCCAAGUAGCGUGAAGGAUGACUGCCCUACGGGUUGUAACCUUCUUUUAUCAAGGAAUAAAGUGAGGCACGUGUGCCUUUUUGUUAGUACUUUAUGAAUAAGCAUCGGCUAACUCCGUACCAGCCGCCGCGGUAAUACGGAGGAUCCGAGCGUUAUCCGGAUUUAGUGGGUUUAAAGGGAGCGUAGAUGGGUUGUUAAGUCAGUUGUGAAAGUUUGCGGCUCAACCGUGAAAUUGCAAUUGAUACUGGCAGCCUUGAGUACAGUUGAGGUGGGCGGAAUUCGUGGUGUAGCGGUGGAAUGCUUAGAUAUCACGAAGAACUCCGAUUGCGAAGGCAGCUUACUAAGCUGCCACUGACAUUGAUGCUCGAAAGUGUGGGUAUCAAACAGGAUUAGAUACCCUAGUAGUC
rnacentral:rRNA from 1 species